UGGGGAAUAUUGCACAAUGGGCGCAAGCCUGAUGCAGCCAUGCCGCGUGUAUGAAGAAGGCCUUCGGGUUGUAAAGUACUUUCAGCGGGGAGGAAGGUGUUGUGGUUAAUAACCUCAGCAAUUGACGUUACCCGCAGAAGAAGCACCGGCUAACUCCGUGCCAGCAGCCGCGGUAAUACGGAGGGUGCAAGCGUUAAUCGGAAUUACUGGGCGUAAAGCGCACGCAGGCGGUCUGUCAAGUCGGAUGUGAAAUCCCCGGGCUCAACCUGGGAACUGCAUCCGAAACUGGCAGGCUUGAGUCUUGUAGAGGGGGGUAGAAUUUCAGGUGUAGCGGUGAAAUGCGUAGAGAUCUGGAGGAAUACCGGUGGCGAAGGCGGCCCCCUGGACAAAGACUGACGCUCAGGUGCGAAAGCGUGGGGAGCAAACA
rnacentral:rRNA from 1 species